GAUGAACGCUGGCGGCGUGCCUAAUACAUGCAAGUCGAGCGAACAGAUGAGGAGCUUGCUCCUCUGACGUUAGCGGCGGACGGGUGAGUAACACGUGGAUAACCUACCUAUAAGACUGGGAUAACUUCGGGAAACCGGAGCUAAUACCGGAUAAUAUAUUGAACCGCAUGGUUCAAUAGUGAAAGACGGUUUUGCUGUCACUUAUAGAUGGAUCCGCGCCGCAUUAGCUAGUUGGUAAGGUAACGGCUUACCAAGGCAACGAUGCGUAGCCGACCUGAGAGGGUGAUCGGCCACACUGGAACUGAGACACGGUCCAGACUCCUACGGGAGGCAGCAGUAGGGAAUCUUCCGCAAUGGGCGAAAGCCUGACGGAGCAACGCCGCGUGAGUGAUGAAGGUCUUCGGAUCGUAAAGCUCUGUUAUUAGGGAAGAACAAAUGUGUAAGUAACUAUGCACGUCUUGACGGUACCUAAUCAGAAAGCCCCGGCUAACUACGUG
rnacentral:rRNA from 1 species